AGAGGGUGCGAGCGUUAAUCGGAAUCACUGGGCGUAAAGGGCUUGUAGGUGGAUUUGUAAGUUAGAUGUGAAAGGCCUGGGCUUAACCUAGGGACUGCAUUUAAGACUGUGGAUCUAGAGUAUAGUAGAGGGAAGUGGAAUUUCCGGUGUAGCGGUGAAAUGCGUAGAUAUCGGAAGGAACACCAGUGGCGAAGGCGGCUUCCUGGACUAAUACUGACACUGAAGAGCGAAAGCGUGGGUAGCGAACAGGGAUUAGAUACCCUGGUAGUCCACGCCGUAAACGAUGAGAACUAGCCCGACUGGAGCUUAGCUCUGGGUGGCGCAGCUAACGCGUUAAGUUCUCCGCCUGGGGAGUACGGCCGCAAGGUUA
rnacentral:rRNA from 1 species